rnacentral:rRNA from 1 species
AUUGAACGCUGGCGGCAGGCUUAACACAUGCAAGUCGAGCGAGCGGCGGACGGGUGAGUAAUGUCUGGGAAACUGCCUGAUGGAGGGGGAUAACUACUGGAAACGGUAGCUAAUACCGCAUACCAUCAUAUGUGCCCAGAUGGGAUUAGCUAGUAGGUGGGGUAAUGUCUCACCUAGGCGACGAUCCCUAGCUGGUCUGAGAGGAUGACCGGCGAGACUGGAACUGGGACACGGUCCAGACUCCUACGGGAGGCAGCGAGGGGGAAUAUUGCGCAAUGCGCGCUCGCCGGAUUAAGCCAUUCCGCGUGUGUCAAGACGGACUACGGGUUGUGAAGCACUUUCAGCGAGGAGGCGUUACUCGCACAAGAAGCACCGGCGAACUCCGUGCCAGCAGCCGCGGUAAUUC